UAUCUGUGGUCUUUUCUCUUUGUCCCCUCCCUUUGCCCUUUAAGGGAGAGAAGAGUGUGGAGGGAGGAAUCGGGGAAGCCCAGUGCUCUAUUGAUGCUCUUGACUUUGUUUUUGGAGGUAGCCUGUGAUGCAGGGCAGAAAAGAGCUGAUGCCUUGGAGAGAGACUGGGAGAGGCUGGAGUUAAUAGAGGAGAUCUAAGAAGACGGAAAUAAAUCCUAAAGAAGCCAACAAAUGUGAAAACAUGAUUUCUGGAGAAUUACAGAAGCACUUAGAAUUAUGUGGAGAUGCUGUGCUGGGUGUUGCGGAGUGAAGAUAUUCAUAAGGAGGUCACAGUCCAGGGAGCAUGAUGCCCUCCUGGAGAAAAUGCAAGCACUGUUUUGUAUUUAUAUGUAUAUUAUUUAUUUUCCUCAGGUCAGAGGAACACAACCUUUAAGCCAGAAGCUUAGAGGGCUGAAAUAAUUGCAAUAAACCUCUGAAACCUUACAUUUACUCAUCAAAUUUUACAGUCAUUAAUUGAUAGAUACAAAUUAUAUUUUCCAUUCAUUAUUUCAAGUAAAUGAAUAGUAAAUAUGUUG